rnacentral:tRNA from 1 species
CGGGGUAUGGCGCAGUCCGGCUAGCGCACCUGCUUUGGGAGCAGGGGGUCGCAGGUUCGAAUCCUGCUGCCCCGA